rnacentral:rRNA from 1 species
UAGUGGCGGACGGGUGAGUAACGCGUGGGCAACCUACCCAUAAGAGGGGGAUAACAGCUGGAAACGGCUGCUAAUACCGCAUAAGCUUUUUAGGACACAUGUUUUGAAAAGUAAAGGAGGCUUUCCGCUUCCGCUUAUGGAUGGGCCCGCGUCUGAUUAGCUAGUUGGUAGGGUAACGGCCUACCAAGGCAACGAUCAGUAGCCGGCCUGAGAGGGUGGACGGCCACACUGGGACUGAGACACGGCCCAGACUCCUACGGGAGCAGCAGUGGGGAAUAUUGCGCAUGGGGGAACCCUGACGCA